CUGCAGAGUUUCUGCUGAAAAAAUAGCUGAUAAUCUUAUGGGGGUUCUCUUGUAUAUUGUGUUGCUUUUCCCUUGUUGCUUCUAAUAUUUUCUCUUUGUCUUUAAUUUAGGUUAAUUUGAUUAAUACAUGGGUUUGUGUGUUCCUGCACAGGGCUAGCUGUGCUUCCUGGAUUUGAAUGAGUAUUUUCCUUUCCCAUCCUAGAGAAAUUUUUGGCUAUUAUCUCUUCAAAUAUUUUCUCAGGCCCUUUCUCUCUUCUCCUUCUGGGACCCCUGUAAUGCAAAUAUUGGUGUGUUUAAUAUUGUCCCCAAAUGUCCCAAAAAUGUUUUCUUUCUUUAUUCAGUUAUGCAUUGGUAAUUUCCACCAAUCUGUCUUCCGUCUUACUUAUUCACUCUUCUGUCUAAUGUAAUCUGCUAUUGACUCCUCUAGAGUAUUUUUCAUCUGUUCCUUUGUUCUUUAAAUCUUCUAUUUCUGUGUUAAACACUUCCUGUAAUUUCUCAAUCUGUGGCUCCAUUUUUUUUUUUUUUUUUUUUUUUUUUUUGCCUCCAGUGUCUUGCCCCCACAGUGAGCUAUAGCUGACCCCUCCUUCCCCAGGAGACUCUUCAAGGCCCACAGGUACAUCUGGCCCAGAUUCUUAUGGAGUCUCUGCCCUGGGACCCAGUGCACGUAUGAAACCUUGUGUGUCCUCUCUAAGAGGGGAGUCUCUGUUUCCUCCAGUUCUGCGGAGCCCCUGCAUUCAAGCCCCACUGACCUUCAAUACCAAAUGCUCUGGGGGCUCCUUUUCCCAAUAGCAAACCCCCAGGCUCGGGAACCUAACAUGGGGCUCAGAACUUACUCCUGUGGGAGAGUCUCUAAGAUAUAGUUUGUUUCCAGUUUGUGGGUUGCCCAACCAGCAGGUAUGGGAUUUGCUUAUAUUGUGAGAGUGCCCCUCCUAGCAUCUCAUUGUGGUUUCUUCUUUGGUAGUUUAUAGUCUGUUUUGUCGAUGUCUGUUCAGCUGUUAGUUGUGAUUUUGGUGUUUUCGUGAGAGGAUGUGAGCUUGAGUUCUUCCGCUCUGCUUUCUUGUCUCUGUGUUCUUGGAUAUGUGUUAAAUUAGAAACCUCCUCCUCAGGACAAAGCUUUAAGGUAAGAAAAUUGGUCUUGAGUACUUUUUAGUUUUCUGCCUCUGCUCAGGUCCUGGUAUUUGGUGAUUCUGCAUAAGCCCUUUAAGAACUGUUGCUGAGAUCACUAUAGGUUUGUGGACACAAACCCCAAUUGCUUUCAAAGCUAACAGAGUUAGGGGGUACUUGUCUCUCAGGUGCAGGUCUUAAAAGUUGAGGUUCAAACCCUUUCCUCAGGGGAAGGCUUAGAUUUGUAAGGGCCUCCUGAUGGUGGCUCAUCAUGCCAAGGUUCACAGCAAUAUUGAGUCCAGCCUCUCCUACCUACGCAAUGUAGGAGUUGCUCAGCUAGUUCUGGUGUUUUCUUCAGAAGACAUUGUUCCAUAUGUAGCUAUAGAUUUGGUGUGUCUGAGGGAGGAGAUCAAGAUCCCCCUAUGUCACCAUCUUGAAUGGGAACCUUGGGCUUUUCUGAAUGGGUAGUAGAAAGAGAGGAGGAGGAGGACUUAGGGGAAAAGGCAAGAUUCACUCUAAAAGUAAACAAAGCCUUUACACAUUUUGUCAAAUCAGUAACAUUUCUAGGUUGGAAGUCAGAAAGUUUUCAGAAAUUUUAGGCCAUAUAGGAUGGUGGUUUAAGCAAAUCUUGGCUGGAUAGUUAUUUAUCCAUUCUUUUCCUCUUUGCCACAACGGAAUUCUAAGACUGCCUGAAGAAUUAUCAGAGCAACAUGCUAAUUCUGUUCCUCACACAGAAUGAAAGAUAGGAUAAUGGAGAAUCUAAGAAGAGUACUUACUCUGUAGAAUUGGCAAAAUGGCAGCAAAGUGAUAACUAGCCACCUGGACUGGCUUCCUGCCAAUAGUUACAAUAGCCUCUCCAAAUUCAACCCACAUCUCUCUGAGUGACUUUUCUAAAUACAAACCUGACCCUGUUUCUUGGCAGAAGAGACUCACUAGUAAGCUAUUCAAGACCUUAUCUACUCCAUCAAGCCUUGGCUUUCUGGAAUUGCAAGCUGCAUCCUCCAGCCAUUUGGAGCCUCCAUCAUUCCCAAGUAAACCAGGAUGAAUUAUGAAUUACCCUGCCAUUGGCUGUAAAACACAGAGACUGAACUGGGUUUUAUAUCAACAAAGGAGGACCAGAACUUAAGCAUCACUGACUUAAGGAGUGUCAAGAGCAAUAUUCCUUGCCACAGCCUAAUGAGUAUAUCUUACAAGUAGCUGACUGAAAUAAUUAGCAACAACUUAAGCAAGAAUUUCAUUUUUGAAAUUAGAAUGAAAAGGAGUGAAAAAAAACCAUACAUGAACUAUGGGACACAAUCCAAAGAAAUAAUAGCCUCACUUGAGGAGUCCCAGAAAGAGAAGAGAGAAAAAGAAUUGUUAUUCAAUCUGGGGAGAGAGAUGGCCACCCAGGUAGAGGAAACUCAAAGAUUCCACCCUAAGAUAUCCUCAACCUCUCAAAUAGCAAAGUCAGAAUAUUGAAAGCAGCAAGAGAAAAAAAAUCACAAUCACACAUACCGGGACUUCUGAUGAGGCUCUAUAUUUCUCCACAGAAAUCUUAUAGGCCAGGAGACAGUGGGAUGAUAUAUUCAAACAGAAAACCUCAUUCAAGUAUACUUUACCCAACAAAGCUGUCAUCCAGACAUGGAAGAGAGAUAAGACUUUGGAAAACAAAGGUGUGAGGGAAUUUAUCAC